AUGUUGCUUAAUGUCCCACUUCUACGAGGAUUUGGUUGUAUAGACGAAAGUGCCAGAUUUGAAUACCAACAUCCAUUGAUUUAUCCUUCACCCUUCCAACUUCGGAUGAUGCUUAUCUUGAAAUAUAAGCUCAUGAACUCAGCAAAUCACAUCAUUGGCUCUUUGCCGAUAUCACAUACUACCUUAGGUGAGAAAAGUUUCAGCAUACCGAACUCCAGAAACAAUGUUCUCAUAUGCAUUGCCUGCUCAUGA